rnacentral:rRNA from 1 species
AAUUAACGCUGGCAGAGUGCAUAACACAUGCAAGUCGAGCGAGACUGGUCGCAAGAUCAGUCUAGCGGCAGACGAGUGAGUAACACGUAAAGAAUCUACCCUUGAAUGGCGAAUAACCAAUCGAAAGGCUGGCUAAUACGCCGUACUCUCCCCGGAAGGCAUCUUCUGGGGAGGAGAGAAUCGCAAGAUUCGUUCUUGGAGGACUUUGCGGCCCANCAGCUAGUUGGCGGUGUAAUAGACCACCAAGGCUACGACGGGUACCCGGCCUGAAAGGGCGGACGGGCACGAUGGCACUGAGACACGGGCCAUACUCCUACGGGAGGCAGCAGGUGGGGAAUUUUGGACAAUGGGCGAAAGCCUGAUCCAGCAACUCUGC